UCGUUUGCUCUGCGUUGUAGCGAUUGGGGUCGUCUCUUGGAAGAUAGGAGGCCACUGGGUUUUAUCCAAAACUUUGCCUCCCUUCCUGAGACUCUACUCGGUGAACUCAAACCUCUCCCAUGGCGUCCUCCGUGUCUACCUACCACCACGUCCUCUCCUCUCUCUCUUCUCAGAAGACCAAUAGCCGCGACAAUGUGAAGACUCAGCUAUCUUCCUCCCUCUGGGGCUCGCCAAUAAGCAUAAGCAGCAUGUUCUCCUCCAACCCCACCACCUCCCUCCAAUUCCAGACCCGGCGGCGCCUCAGCGUUACCGCCAUGGCUCCGCCGAAAGCCAAGCCGGGCGGGAAAGCCAAAAAGGUGAUUGGAAUGAUAAAGCUGGCGUUGGAGGCCGGGAAGGCGACUCCGGCUCCGCCGGUCGGGCCGGCGCUGGGUUCGAAGGGUGUAAAUAUCAUGGCUUUUUGUAAGGAUUACAAUGCCAGGACGGCGGACAAGCCCGGCUAUGUCAUUCCAGUUGAAAUCACCGUCUAUGAUGAUAAGAGUUUUACUUUCAUUUUGAAGACCCCACCUGCUUCGGUUUUGCUUCUUAAGGCUGCAGGAGUGGAUAAAGGUUCAAAAGACCCGAAGAUGGAGAAAGUGGGAAAGGUCACCAUUGAUCAGCUGCGAACAAUUGCGCAAGAAAAGCUGCCGGACUUGAAUUGCACGACAAUAGAAUCCGCAAUGAGAAUCAUAGCAGGCACUGCAGCUAAUAUGGGGAUCGAUGUCGACCCUCCUGUUCUAGAACCCAAAAAGAAGGAAGCUCUGCUGUAAUUCUGCUCCCAACAUUUUGUAUCCUCGAUUAGGCUUGUUUCUUAAAUCAUAUAUUGUAAGAUUCUACAGGACUGAUGGAAGUCAGCAUGUCCAUUGUUGCGGUUAUUGGAUGAUAAAGCGAAAGCUGACUUCUACUUCAAGCAAUCUGUGAUCAACUGGGAAUGAGGGAAUUGAGAUCCUUUCUGAUCUUUGUUUCCGGGGUCCAACGACCAGAAGAUCUGGCCCGUUGAAGAGAAAGAUUCGGAUCCUUGAUUUGUGUAAGGUGGGCCAUGGGUUAAUGUGGGCAAAACUUAAAAUGAGUGAUCUACAUCCCCUGGUCCUUGGGUUGAGUUUUAGAAUUCAAGCACUCUGUAACCUAGUUGAUGGUAAUUAUCUGGUCAUCCAGAAAUUGAACUUGAAAUUUCUUUCAACA